GCUUAUAUUAGCAUAAGUUGUAAUUUGCCCGGAAUUCCUCAUCCAACCUUCGCUAGGGACCCUGUGCCAUUUCUUCUUGCUCCUAAUGUAAGCAAUCAAUUAGGAUUAGAAGCAGCUGUUGAAGCAACUGCUGAAUUUCUGAACAAAGCUGUGAAACCUGUCAUUGUGGGGGGACCUAAAUUAAGGGUGGCAAAGGCGCAGGAGGCCUUUUUAGAGCUUGCAGAUGCCAGUACGUAUCCAUUAGCUGUUAUGCCCUCAGGCAAAGGGCUAGUGCCAGAACAGCAUCCACAUUUCAUUGGGACAUAUUGGGGUGCUGUCAGCACUAGCUUUUGUGGGGAGAUAGUGGAGUCUGCUGAUGCCUAUAUUUUUGUUGGCCCCAUCUUCAAUGAUUACAGCUCUGUUGGAUAUUCCUUGCUGAUCAGGAAGGAGAAGGCGAUCGUAGUGCAACCUAAUCGUGUGACUAUAGGCAAUGGCCCCUCCUUUGGCUGGGUAUUUAUGGCUGACUU
rnacentral:misc_RNA from 1 species